UACAGAGGGUACGAGCGUUGUCCGGAAUCACUGGGCGUAAAGGGCGCGUAGGCGGUCUGGUAAGCGUGUGGUGAAAGCUCGGGGCUCAACCCCGAGUCGGCCGUGCGAACUGCGAGACUGGAGCAGAUCAGAGGCAGGCGGAAUUCCGGGUGUAGCGGUGGAAUGCGUAGAGAUCCGGAAGAACACCGGUGGCGAAGGCGGCCUGCUGGGAUCUUGCUGACGCUGAGGCGCGACAGCGUGGGGAGCGAACAGG
rnacentral:rRNA from 1 species